GCAUUGGUGGUUCAGUGGUAGAAUUCUCGCCUGCAACGCAGGAGACCCAGGUCUGAUUCCCGGCCAAUGCA
rfam:Danio rerio chromosome 4, GRCz11 reference primary assembly.